rnacentral:rRNA from 1 species
AGUGAACGCUGGCGGUAGGCCUAACACAUGCAAGUCGAACGGCGGCACAGUAAGAGCUUGCUCUUACGGGUGGCGAGUGGCGGACGGGUGAGGAAUACAUCGGAAUCUACUUUUUCGUGGGGGAUAACGUAGGGAAACUUACGCUAAUACCGCAUACGACCUACGGGUGAAAGCAGGGGAUCUUCGGACCUUGCGCGAUUGAAUGAGCCGAUGUCGGAUUAGCUAGUUGGCGGGGUAAAGGCCCACCAAGGCGACGAUCCGUAGCUGGUCUGAGAGGAUGAUCAGCCACACUGGAACUGAGACACGGUCCAGACUCCUACGGGAGGCAGCAGUGGGGAAUAUUGGACAAUGGGCGCAAGCCUGAUCCAGCUAUACCGCGUGGGUGAAGAAGGCCUUCGGGUUGUAAAGCCCUUUUGUUGGGAAAGAAAAGCAGCAGGUUAAUACCCCGCUGUUCUGACGGUACCCAAAGAAUAAGCACCGGCUAACUUCGUG